AGGGAGUGCUCAGAGCAAAGGGCUUAAAGAAUUAGUCCUUUGUUUACAAGGUGUCCCACAGAAACCUGGAGCCAUUCUGAUAAGAGGGACACUUGUGGCUUUUCUGUGAACAAAUAUGCCACACAG
ensembl:snoRNA